AUUAGAUACCCUGGUAGUCCACGCCGUAAACGAUGUCGACUUGGAGGUUGUGCCCUUGAGGCGUGGCUUCCGGAGCUAACGCGUUAAGUUGACCGCCUGGGGAGUACGGUCGCAAGAUUAAAACUCAAAUGAAUUGACGGGGGCCCGCACAAGCGGUGGAGCAUGUGGUUUAAUUCGAUGCAACGCGAAGAACCUUACCUGGUCUUGACAUCCACGGAAGUUUUCAGAGAUGAGAAUGUGCCUUCGGGAACUGUGAGACAGGUGCUGCAUGGCUGUCGUCAGCUCGUGUUGUGAAAU
rnacentral:rRNA from 1 species